rnacentral:rRNA from 1 species
GACGAACGCUGGCGGCGUGCUUAACACAUGCAAGUCGAACGGAAAGGCCCUGCUUUUGUGGGGUGCUCGAUUGGCGAAGGGGUGAGUAACACGCGAGUAACCUGCCCUUGACUUUGGGAUAACUUCAGGAAACUGGGGCUAAUAUCGGGUAGGAUCUCCUGCUGCAUGGUGGGGGUUGGAAAGUUUCGGCGGUUGGGGAUGGACUCGCGGCUUAUCAGCUUGUUUGUGGGGUAGUGGCUUACAAAGUCUUUGACGGGUAGCCGGCCUGAGAGGGUGGACGGCGACAUUGGGACUGAGGUACGGAGCAGUAGGCUACGGGACGCAGUAGGCGGGAACUUUGCACAGUGAGGCGGCGCCUGAUGCGAAAACGCCGCGAGCGGGAUGACGGCCUUCGGGGUAAGAACCGAUUUGGAAGUAGAUGAAGAGUGAGUGACGGUAAUGGGUAAAGAAGCAACGGCUAACUACGUG